AUACGGAGGGAGCGAGCGUUGUCCGGAAUUACUGGGCGUAAAGGGCGCGUAGGCGGCGCUUCAAGUCGUCUGUCAAAUGGGAGGGCUUAACCCUUUUUCGCAGACGAAACUGGAGAGCUUGAGAAGCAGAGAGGCAAACAGAAUUCCUGGUGUAGCGGGGAAAUGCGUAGAUAUCAGGAAAAAUACCAGUGGCGAAGGCGGUUUGCUGGCUGCAUACUGACGCUGAAGCGCGAAAGCCAGGGGAGCAAACGGGAUUAGAUACCCCGGUAGUCCUGGCAGUAAACGAUGUAUGCUGGGUGUGAGACUAGCGAUAGUUUCGUGCCGAAGUUAACGCGAUAAGCAUACCGCCUGGGGAGUACGUUCGCAAGAUUGAAACUCAAAUGAAUUGGCGGGG
rnacentral:rRNA from 1 species